GACGAACGCUGGCGGCGUGCUUAACACAUGCAAGUCGAACGGAAAGGCCCUGCUUUUGUGGGGUGCUCGAGUGGCGAACGGGUGAGUAACACGUGAGUAACCUGCCCUUGACUUUGGGAUAACUUCAGGAAACUGGGGCUAAUACCGGAUAUGAGCUCCUGCUGCAUGGUGGGGGUUGGAAAGUUUCGGCGGUUGGGGAUGGACUCGCGGCUUAUCAGCUUGUUGGUGGGGUAGUGGCUUACCAAGGCUUUGACGAGUAGCCGGCCUGAGAGGGUGACCGGCCACAUUGGGACUGAGAUGCGGCCCAGACUCCUACGGGAGGCAGCAGUGGAGGAUAUUGCACGAUGGGCGGAAGCCUGAUGCAGCGACGCCGCGUGCGGGAUGACGGCCUUCGGGUUGUAAACCGCUUUCGCCUGUGACGAAGCGUGAGUGACGGUAAUGGGUAAAGAAGCACCGGCUAACUACGUG
rnacentral:rRNA from 1 species